AGCAGCGUGGCUCAGUGGCAAGAGCCCGGGCUUGGGAGUCAGAGGUCAUGGGUUCGAAUCCCGCCUCUGCCG
rfam:Ornithorhynchus anatinus chromosome 2, whole genome shotgun sequence.